rnacentral:rRNA from 1 species
GACGAACGCUGGCGGCGUGCCUAAUACAUGCAAGUCGAACGAAAGCGACCGGUGCUUGCACUGGUCAAUCUAGUGGCGGACGGGUGAGUAACACGUGGGUAACCUGCCCAUCAGAGGGGGAUAACAUUCGGAAACGGAUGCUAAAACCGCAUAGGUCUUCGAACCGCAUGGUUUGAAGAGGAAAAGAGGCGCAAGCUUCUGCUGAUGGAUGGACCCGCGCUGCAUUAGCUAGUUGGUGAGGUAACGGCUCACCAAGGCCGUGAUGCAUAGCCGACCUGAGAGGGUGAUCGGCCACAUUGGAACUGAGACACGGCCCAAACUCCUACGGGAGGCAGCAGUAGGGAAUCUUCCGCAAUGGACGAAAGUCUGACGGAGCAACGCCGCGUGAGUGAAGAAGGUCUUCGGAUCGUAAAACUCUGUUGUUAGAGAAGAACAAGUGCUAGAGUAACUGUUAGCGCCUUGACGGUAUCUAACCAGAAAGCCACGGCUAACUACGUG